GCCUGUUGUACCUCUUCAUCUAUGUGUUUGGCUGGGGUCUCACUGGUGCGGCAGUCGCUUUUGACAUCUCAAUGUGGGUGGUCGCGAUCGCACAGACCGUCUACGUCAUAGGCUGGUGCAAGGAAGGGUGGACAGGGCUAUCAUGGGCUGCUUUCAAUGAUAUAUGGGCCUUUGUCAGGCUGUCUUUCGCCUCCGCUGUGAUGCUCUGCCUUGAGAUUUGGUACAUGAUGGUCCUCGUAGUCCUCACUGGUCAUCUACAUAACGCAGAGAUCGCAGUUG
rnacentral:misc_RNA from 1 species